rnacentral:lncRNA from 1 species
AUGUGGCGAGACUCCGAGUUGAUGAUAAUACCUUAUAGUGGUGGAGGUGGCGAAACUGAGAGUGCGUAUGAAAGGUGAAGAUUUAGGAUUGACGUGAGAGAUGGUAACAUAAAACUGUUAAUCUGCAAACAGAAGCAGACAAAGAUUGAUGCACAUAUGAGAAUACUUAUCUGUAACUCUCUAAAUCUGCACUAAAAUGAGCAAAGUACAUCAUCCCAACUUGAAAUAAUAUUUUACUUAUUUAAAAAACCAUAAAAAAUUUAUUUAUUUAAAAAAACCAUAACAAAGACUCAUCUUACAAAAACCAAUUGUUUUGGCAGCAGGUAUCCCUAUCGUUCUUCGCCAAUUCUGAAGUAGAACCACAACGUUUUUGGGGUUGUUGCGGCAGCCGAGGUCCUGAUGCCAACGGUGGCAGCAGCUCUGAGCAAGGCGGCGCUAGCGAGUUGUUAGUGUCGGCGAGCCAACGGCGGCGUCGAACGUCACCGUCUCAGGUGAUGACAGCAACGGCACUAGACGACAGCAGAAUAUCUAUGGUUUCGAGAAGGGUGUGCAACUGCGGUGACAAGGCGCCGUGGUUAGAUGGCAGUGGGUUUGGCAGGGCGCUGUGCGGGGUGGGUUAGUGGAUUCAUCUUGGGCGACGGAGGAGAAGUUUGAAAUUGAUGGAGGAAGAAGAUCUGAAGAUUUAGGAUUGGAGAGGUUGGGCGCCGCUGAUGUGCUUGUGAGUAAAAACUCUAGAAUGAGUGAGUUGGGUUAUUUAUAGUAUGCAUAAUUGGGCUUUGUUAGUGUAAGAGAGUUCAUGGGCUUGGGAUGUGAUUAAUUUUUAAGAUGUAAUCUUUUUUUGCAAAUGUGAUUACCACUUUCAAUUUGAUUAAAAGUUCAAAACUCCCAUGAUUUCGACUGAUGCUUCUUUGUGUUGACAAAUUUUACAAUUAAAAUAGAAAAAUAAGUAUUAAUCAUUGAUUCUAAAUAAUUUACAUAAUAAACUAUAACUAAGAUUAAAUUGUUAACAUCAUAUAAUACAACUUUAGGAUUAAAUUGUUGAAUUAUAAGAUUAUAUUGCAUAAUAAGAUUAAAUUGUUAACAUCAUUUAUAAAUUAUAAGAUUAAUUAUUGAUUCUCAUAUUAUGAAGUGAUCUAUUAUCUAGGAUGAGGGUUACAACUUUAGCAAAAAGUUGUUUCAAUUGGAGUUUCAGUGACAAGAAACUAUUAACUUUUUGUAAAUUAGAAAUAUUGAUCAACAAAUAUCUUCCAAUCUCGAAAGAAAAGUUAUAUAAAUUUAAAUUUGAACCAACCUCAAGGUAUUUGAUUUUCUAUUUAAUAAUAAUCUUGUAGGAGUAGAUACUAAUUAUGACUGAAUAUGUACCCAUACUUCCUCUAAUAGAUUAAGCAUUUUAGUGAAAUUUAAUAGGGAGAUUCGUACCACCAUGAACCUCCAUAAAUGUUAAUAUAUCUAACAGUGUGUUGAGUGCGAGCACUACAACAUUAUUCGCAAUCACCGACGGAUUUUUCCGUCGGUAAAACCCAAAUUUCCGUCGGUAAAGGUAGAUUCCGACGGAGUGCCGACGUCGACAGCUCGACGUUAAAAGACGCGUCGGUAAACAAUACACCGACGGAUAAAGUUGUCCGUCGGAAAUUACCGACGGAUCCACGACCGAAAGUCCGUCGCCCAAUUCUCAGUAGACGACGACUUUAUCAUCCUGUCGCCGACGGAACACCGACGGACUAGUCCGUCGGUAAUAGUCGCCGGAGCCGCCGUGCGAUUGCCGGAAAAUUACCGACGGUGUAUCCGUCGGUAUUCAUUUAAAAAAAAUUGAAAUUAUCCAGAUUUUAGUUUCACCUGUUAUCGACAAUUUACACAUAUUUUCGAAAUCAAUCUAUUUAACAACAAUGAUAAUUUAAAUCAAACUAAAGUCCAAUGAUAACACACAUCCAAGUCAAUCCUAAUAAGUUUUCAAACAUUCAAAUGCAAUCCUAAUAAGUUUUCACAUACUACAAUCCCAAUAAGUUUUCACACACAUCCAAGUCUAACAUACUACAUAUUCAAAAUAGUAAUACACAUCAAAGUCAAAGAAUAUAAAGUCAUAAUUUAUAUAAUCUACUAGGGGUCGAUAAAAAAAACAUUCCUUAUUUUUUAUUUUCUACCAAGUUAUCGAACAAAUGCCUAAAGGACACAAAUUCAAACAAAUAACAUAUACGCGGCUCCAAGCCAUCACCACAGCAACAAAAUGAGAUGGAACACAGUCAUCUCCCAACCUAAUCUCCAUUUACUACCUAGAUACAUGCUUAUCUAAUCAUGCUCUUCGCCUCUCCCCCACCGGCGAUAAUACAAACACAUAAUCAUGCUUAUACAAAUUCAAUCAACAUAUAUAAUCCUAAAUUUUAUCAAAUAAAUUUAUAAAUAAAAUUGCGAAAGACUAACCUUUCAGCAAAAUCAAGUGAAUAUGACAACAAAGUCUGACGGCUGCACAACUAUAAGUUGAUCUGUAAUGAAAAUACAAGUAUCAAUUUAAGGAAAUCCUAGUAGUAGUACAAGUAAAUAUGCAAACUUAAUUAAUUCUUGAAUUAGUUAGUUACUCGUGCAAACUUAAUAUGCAAAAUAAUAAUAUUAGUGUUAAUGAAGCAAAAUUAAGUCCAACUUAAUAUCACUAUUCGAUACAAACAGAUCACUAAAUAUCAAAUCUUGCAUUUUUAAUACUAAGGAUAACAAGAUCGAAGCAGGCAGCGGAAACACCUGAAUAAGGAUAACAAGAUCACUAAAUAUCAAACUAGAAUUUAUUGGGAGACCAAACACGACUUAUCAAACAUGUCACGUGAUAAUGGGAGUAGGGAAUAGGGAUGGGCUGCUCAAACUGCGCCUGCUUAUUGCCAUUCAAAAUAUUCAAUAUUAUCCUAAAAUGGCAUAUUAUACAUCAAUGUUUUAUUCAUCUAUAAAUGCCAAAGCAAAACUUAAGUCUACAGCACUAGUAUUCGAUUACUCCAUAUUUUAACUUAAUAAUAACAUUCCAAUUUCGCUGGUGAUUCUACACAAUCUGAUUCAAAGUUUCGAAAUGUAUAUAGGUUUGUGAAACAAUAGACAGUUUACUACAAUAAGAUUAAUUAUUAUUAUUAUUAUAAAAAGACUGAACUAGCAAAAUACCCAUUAAUAAAAGAUACUAACCACCAACAUAAAAAGGAAUACAAAAAAGUAUUAAGGAAUCUGCAUUUAUCUCUAUGGCUAUUUAAUCUUUAUAAUAUGAAAAUGACUAUCUUGAUAUAUUUAACUGAUAACAAAAAAGUAUUAAGGAAUCUGCAUCAAUCACAUACCUCAAGGAAAUAUAACAAUUUCAUUUCUCCAGUAUAAUAAUAAUAAUAAUAGAAUCCAAUACCAAGACAAAUUCGACUACAUGAGCUCGUAUGACCUGCUGAAGCAUUUUUCUGUUGGUUUUAAAAAAAAUUGAGCUAAGAAAAACCAGUUUAUCUGAAAAAACAAUGGUGCAGGCUGCUGGAUUAUCCACUAAAUUUUGGACAUUUUCAGUAUUUACAGCUUAACUUUUGACGUUCUUCUUCUUGAACUUACAAAGACAAAUUGAAGAUUAGGCAGCGGAAACAC